rnacentral:rRNA from 1 species
CCUACGGGAGGCAGCAGUGAGGAAUAUUGGUCAAUGGACGCAAGUCUGAACCAGCCAUGCCGCGUGCAGGAAGACGGCUCUAUGAGUUGUAAACUGCUUUUGUACGAGGGUAAACGCAGAUACGCGUAUCUGACUGAAAGUAUCGUACGAAUAAGGAUCGGCUAACGCCGUGCCAGCAGCCGCGGUAAUACGGAGGAUUCAAGCGUUAUCCGGAUUUAUUGGGUUUAAAGGGUGCGUAGGCGGUCGGAUAAGUUAGAGGUGAAAUCCCGAGGCUCAACUUCGGAAUUGCCUCUGAUACUGUUCGGCUAUAGCGUAGUUGCGGUCGGCGGACUGUAUGUUGUAGCGGU